UGUUGACAUCCCUGCCUGCGCUGGCGGUCCCACCCCCGACUCCCACCAAAACGGCACCUCCCGCGUUGGUCAAUGGGCUGGAGCUGUCAGAGCCGCGGAGCUGGCUGUACCUAGAAGAGAUGGUCAACUCCUUGCUCAACACAGCGCAGCAGCUGAAGACGCUGUUUGAGCAAGCCAAGCAUGCCAGCACCUACCGAGAAGCUGCCACAAACCAGGCCAAGAUCCACGCUGACGCAGAGCGGAAGGAGCAGUCCUGCGUUAACUGCGGCCGGGAGGCUAUGAGCGAGUGCACCGGCUGCCACAAGGUCAACUACUGCUCCACCUUCUGCCAACGCAAG
rnacentral:misc_RNA from 1 species